AGACCUACAGGAGUCCAGAGCCAUUACACACGGAUCACAUUUCACUCCAAAAUCAUAGCAGGGAACCAGAUUUUACAUCUUCUGGCUUUUCUUUCCAUUCCUCUAUUUAUUAUUUGCCACACUAUGAAAAGACAAGCCUAGAGUAUGACAAAAAGUGCAUCACUGACCAGCAAACAGAUCUGAGCGAAGAUGGGUGUAAUGACAAGUUGCGGUCAGCACUAUAGAUUUCUGAGGUCUUGGUUGGGAGGAAAAGUGAAGGAGGCGGACAGGAGGAAAACCACCCACAGCUGCAGGCCAAAAGCAGGAGGCAGGCAUUCCGGCCGAGUCUUCGCUCCAGGGCAGAAUACCUCAAUCCUAAAACACAUCUUGUAGUAAUAAAGGAUUGUAAGAGCCAAAAGUCCAGUACAGCGUCUUAUAAACAGAGGACAGAUCGCACAGCUGUGAGCGAUUUACACUGCUAAUGUCUAAUUAUGGGAGGUAGAAAUGAGGAAACACUCUUCAUCUCCACCUGACAGCAGACAGACGUCCUCAGCUGUCUCUAUGUAAAUGUACACCUGCUUCAGCUCUCCUGUCACAGAAUGCUCAGCUGCUUUAAGAGAGACUCACAGUGUUGAUCACGGAGAAACCACACCCCUGUACCUCCUACAGAUUCCUGCCCGUCUCACCCACCCUUCGCCAGCCCCAGAGCCCCAACCAGCCUUUUGAUCUCACCGUCAUUGAAAGGAUUGGAUACGAGCAGUUUAGACUGAUCUCAGAUCGGUGCCUGAUUCUGGUUGCCAAGGUGUUCCACAGAAAUCCCACCUCUGAGCAGAACUUCAAUUAUAGGACUAAUAAAUCACUGGAAGAGAUAGUGGAGAUAAAGGUAAUAAAAAUGAUUUAAAGCUGAAGAAAAUAAUGGUAGUUAAAACAAUGUAGUAUAAUAUACAAGAUGAAGCAGGCAAAGACUUUCAAUCCUUGGGGACACAAAUACAAACACCAAAUGGAAUAAAAGUGGUUGAUAAUUGUAAAUGCCAGCCACUUUUGGAGAUAAUUGGUAAGAAAUUAGUAAGAAUUGGUUAGAAAAAAGUUCAUCUACACCUUGUCUGUAUUAUAAUGCGCAGACAAUUGAAUUUGCUUUCUGCUGAAUAAGAGCCAGCAACAUUCAGUGCCGUGCACUGACUCUUAAACGGGCAGGUGAUCACAGGGCCGGAGCAAGCUGAACUGCCGCUCUAGGCAAAGGACUAUGGUGACGGUCGCGAAAAUCACUCUACGUGGCGGGGGAGGGUGUCAAGGGAAUCACGCUAAGGGGGAGGGAUUACCUGAAUCUGUGGAGAGGCUGAGAGGGGCACCUCUGCCAAUGAUUUUGUUCUAGGAGCUCAAUUUGGGGAAACUAAUUGCAAGAUGCCCUCGCUGCAGUCUAUAGCACAAUGAUGUACUGGAUCAGGUCCAAUAUGUAGUGGACAUUGUAAUGCUAAUGUGACGGUUGGGUUUAGGGUAGGUGUAGAUGUUAAUAACUGUGAGAGUUGGUUUAGGGUUGGGGUAGGUGUAGACGUUUAUUACUAUGAGAGUUGGGUUUGUGGUUGGGGUAGGUGUAGACGUUUAUUACUAUGAGAGUUGGGUUUGUGGUUGGGGUAGGUGUUGACAUUAAUAACUGUGAUGACUGGGUUUAGGAAUGGGGUAGGUGUUGACGUUAGUAACUGUGAGAGUUGGGUUUAGGGUUGGGGUAGGUGUUGACGUUAAUAACUGUGAUGGUUGGGUUAAUGGUUAGGAAAGGUGCAGACGUUAAUAACUGUGAUGGUUGGGUUUAGAGUUGGGGUAG